rnacentral:rRNA from 1 species
UAACUUUAAAGGAAUUGACGGAAGGGCACCACAAGAACGCGUGGAGCAUGUGGCUUAAUUUGACUCAACGCGGGAAAUCUUACCGGGUCCGGACACACUGAGGAUUGACAGGCAAUAUCUCGACUGUUUAAUAAUAAUAACCGCUUUAUUAAUAAACGGUUUAUUAUUAAACAGAUCGAGUGUUAAAUAUGCUAGUCCUUUCAUGAUUAUGUGAUAGGUGGUGCAUGGCCGUUCUUAGUUCGUGGAGUGAUCUGUCUGCUUAAUUGCGUUUCACUAAGGGCCCAUAAAUACAAGGUAUGUUAGCAAUCGUCGCUCUAUGGACCCCUUAUUUCGGUUUAUUAAUAAACUGUUAUAAGCGCGCGUCUUGUUUAAAGAGUUUAAGACACUGCGCAUGCUGUUGGGCUCUGAAAGCAACGAACGUGACCGCAACGUCUUGUUGCCUUAAUCAAGUCGGCUGUUUAAUCUGUUUAAUUAAACAGACAGCAGUCAUUAUAUGGCUUAUCCGAGGCUAUUUAAAACUAGACGAACCGCUGUUUCUUUUCUUAAACCAGAGGAAGGUUGCGGCAAUAACAGGUCUGUGAUGCCCUUAGAUGUUCCGGGCUGCACACGUGCUACAAUGAUCAGUACAGUGAGCAUCUCAAUUAUAAUACACACCGUUUAUUAGCGCUUAAACGCGGUUAAUGGAUCGUUAUUUGUUUAACGAGCUGUUUAAUCGUAUAUGUUUAAUGUGCGCGGUAAAGCCUGCUUCGAGAGUAAGCGGGUAAUCCAUUGGAAGUAUUGAUUUCUCUAUUUAAAGUGCACAACUAUGCACGGCGGUUAUUCCCGAGGCGGCUAGUUCUGUCUUUUAGUGUGAAUAUCCGUUAUUUAAACGUGCGUGCAAUUGUCAAUUCAUGGUGGGGACAGACCAUUGUUAACUGUUGGUCUCGGUCUUAACUAGGAAUGCCUUGUACGGGUCUUUGGUUCAACAAACCACCCGGAAUACGUCCCUGCCCUUUGUACACACCGCCCGUCGCUCUUACCGAUGAACUUGUUUGUGAGUCUAAGGGACUGGGUUAAACCACUCGAUCGUUUAUUCGUUCGGAUGGCAGUACCUAUGGAAACUUAUGCGAACAAAGUGGUUUAAAGGAAAGAGAAGUCGUAACAAGGCAACAGUAGGUGA